rnacentral:rRNA from 1 species
UACGAAGGGGGCAAGCGUUGUUAGGAUUUACUGGGCGUAAAGGGCGCGUAGGCGGAUCUGCAAGAAAGAGGUGAAAGACCUGGGCUCAACCCGGGAAUGGCCUUUGAGACUGCAAGUCUUGAGUGCGAGAGAGGGUGGCGGAAUACCCAGUGUAGAGGUGAAAUUCGUAGAUAUUGGGUAGAACACCGGUGGCGAAGGCGGACACCUGGCUCGCAACUGACGCUGAGGAGCGAAAGCGUGGGGAGCAAACAGG